rnacentral:hammerhead_ribozyme from 1 species
GCACUGCUGAGGAGACCAACAAUAGGACGAAACGGCCGUCCAGUNN